UCCGAAAGUGAUCGCAGACUUCCUGUGCCCUGGUCAUUGAUACCACAGGGAGAGGAACUGAUGAAAGCAUUUUUCUGUGUUUGGAGGGUGCAGUCUGUCCCUACCAAACCCUAGAGCUUUCAUGUA